AAGUGCCUGUGUUUGGGUGCAAUAUUGAAAAAAAAAUUAGAAUAACCAUUGCUUUCCCACUGAAAUUAAUAUUUGUCCCACUGAACUUAAUAUUUUAUAAAUCUAUUCUGCAUUCAGCAGCAGAAAAGAUUUGGUUACAUGAACUCAUGUGACACCAGAUCCUAAGGACCAUUCAGGCACAAUUUAAGUCAAUUAAAACAGUCUGAGGAAUCAGGCAAAACUUUAUCAAGAUAAGCAAGCUUUUGCUAGUGCAGGUAGCACUAUAAUUGUAAGCAAUUGAUUAGAACUAUGAUUGUCCUAAUCAACAGAGUUACUCAGGCUUUAUCUGACCUUUAAUUUGUUGAGCUAAACUGAAGUAAGAUUGAUUUAAGUAAAAAUAAGAAUUCACACAGCCCUUUGCAGCAAAUUAAACCCAGCUAAACCAAUGUAGUUUUGCAUGUAGACAAGCCCUAAGGCAGCAAAAUGUCCAACAGCAGUGACAAAGUGCUUGAUGGUUUUCAGAGAACAUGUGUUUUUACUUUCAUUGUGGCAGGAAACACCAUAGGGUCAAGGCUGCAAACCACUGUUUAUAUUGUUCUUUCUUCUACUUACUUAUUAUAUAACCAAUUUGCAGUGUCCCAUUAUGUGCUACAUGGGGUGCCUUUAAAAUUAUAUAUUAUAAGCAUAUUUUUAAAAUAAAUAGUACCCACAAAUUUUACUAAUACUAGGAAUGGGAGAGCUUAUUUAUUACUGCUGCUGUGCUAGAUUUUAUUGGAUCUGCACUUCAAGCAUGACACCUGUUAAAAAGACAAGUCCAGACGCAUGACAACAUUUUGACCUUUGUACAGCUCUGAAUGGGUGGGAAAGUAACCCUUUCAGUGUACUGCUUUGGGACUGUGAUGGAAAUGUCGUAGUUGACCAAAUGUUAGUCUUUAUGCAUUCUCUUUUCUUCCCCUUCCUCUGCUAUUGCUCCAUUCCCCCAUUGUUUUUAAUUUUCUUGGGUUUUUUUUUUCUGUCUUCCUCUCAUUCUCUUUAUAAACCAUCUUGACUCUGCUUCCUCUUCUUUUGCCUUGAGACAUCCUAUUUAUUUGAUGCAGGGUCCACAUCACAGUCCUUAUAUUUUCUUUUAUGUCAACUAACUGUGUUCUUCCCACUUCACACAGUGGCUCAUUUCUCAUUGGCCGGUCAUGCUCGCAAACACAGGACCACCAGUUAGCUGAGCCGUUUCUAGGGCUUGUUCCAUCUCACCCCCAGUGAACAAAAAUCCCUUUAAGCAGUGUCAUUCCACUUGAAUUUGGCCAUGCACAUGGAAGGUUUCUUACCGAUGUAUCAGGCACACAUUGUGGUUGCAGAUUUUGUAGACAAAAUGUGGUGGAGGUUAUCUGUCAGGACUUCACUGAAGUGUGUGGUGCCGAGUGAAAAAGGAUUAGUUCAGUUGAAAAAAUGGGGAUUAGUGCAGGAAUUGUAAGGUGGGAAAAACAGCCAAAAGAAAAAUGGAAUACAUUUCUCAGUCUGCUUUGCUCUGCAGUCACACAGAUAGUGCUGGCAAAAAGGAAAGGAUACACAGGAACAGGAAUGAAAGCCAGAGGUCAGUGAAGGUCAGCUGCGCUGCUUUAGGUAAUACUUUAGACUUAUGCUGGUAAACUGUACCAAAAAUUGCGAUCUGAACCUGCAACAUGCAGUGACCUUCAAUAGGACAAAUUUCUUAGACCUAAGCAGCUACUAAGGUAUUUAACAUCUUUGUCAGUGACAUGGACAGUGGGAUCAAGUGCACCCUCAGCAAGUUUGCCCACAACACAAGCUGUGUGGUGUGGUCAACACGCUGGAAGGAAGGGGUGCCAUCCAGAGGGAUCUUGACGUCCUCGAGAGGUGGGCCUGUGUGAACCCAUGAAGUUCGGCAAGUGCAAGGUACUGCACGUGGGUCAGGGCAAUCCCAAGCACACCUACAGGCUGGGCAGGGAAUGGAUUGAAAGCAGCCCUGAGGAGAAGGACUCAGGAGUGCUGGUGGAUGAAAAGCUCAACAAGUCAGCAAUGCAUGCUUGCAGCCCAGAAAGCCAACUGUAUCCUGGGCUGCAUCAAAAGAAGCAUGGCCAGCAGGUCAAGGGAGGUGAUUCUGCCCCUCUACUCCACUCUUGUGAGACCUCACCUGGAGUACUGCGUCCAGCUCUGGGGGCCCCAGUACAAGACAGACAUGGACUUGUUGGAACGAGUCCAGAGGAGGGCCACGAAGAUGAUCAGAGGGCUGGAGCACCUCUCCUAUGAGGACAGGCUGAGAGAGUUGGGGUUGUUCAGCCUGGAGAAAAGGCGGCUCCGGGGAGACCUUAUAGCAGCCUUCCAGUACCUGAAGGGGACCUACAGGAAAGCUGGAGAGGGGCUGUUUACAAGGGCAUGUAGUGACAGGACAAGGGGUAAUGGCUUUAAACUAAAAGAGGGUAGAUUUAGAUUAGGUAUAAGGAAGAAAUUCUUUCCCAUGAGGGUGGUGAGGCACUGGAACAAGUUGCCCAGGGAAGUUGUGGAUGCCCCCUCCCUGGAAGUGUUCAAGGGCAGGUUGGAUGGGGCUUUGGGCAACGUGGUCUAGUGGAGGUUGUCCCUGCCCAUGGCAGGGGGGUUGGAACUAGAUGAUCUUUAAGGUACCUUCCAACCCAAACCAUUCUAUGAUUCCAUGAUUCCCAGCAGAAGUACAGAAGUAUAUUUGCCAAUAUUUGACAUUCAAAACACCUAUUUCCUCUAAAAUACUACGUAUGCUUCCACUCGUACAUAUUCAGAAAAGAUUAAGUAAAACCAGAACUUAUCCAGAAAAAGGUGACUGAGCUGAUUAGGAAAACAUUGCAAGAAGUUAUCAAAUUGUUAGUUAAAGGUUAUUGGCCCAACCAAAUAACUGUUGAAGUCUAUAAUUUUUCUCUGAAAGCACAAGAAGGAGAUAAGUUCAGCAGAUUUUUAAGAUCUUUUUUAGUGAUGCGGACUGUGUUGAUACAGGAACUGUCAGUUACCUCACCCAAACUGGAAAUAAGAGUAAAAUUUAUAACUGCCAGCAGAAUGAGUUUCCAGAGCAUUCUUCCAAUACCAGUAGAAUGGGUGAAAAUAAACAAAAUCAAAAUCUUUAGACGAGGCUUAGAUUGUCUUUAUAUAAGGCUUAAUAGUUUAAGGAAAGGGAUUGUAUGGUAUGGUGGCUUCCAGUGGCAUGAGACUAUCGUGAAUGACCCUGGAAGCCCUUGCAGUCAAGGUCAAGCCACCUUGCAUAUAAGGUGGCGACAACGAAGUCACAGUGAAACUAAACUUUUUACUUGCAAAGAGGUGAAGCAGUAAUAACCCAUUUGUGUCAGUUCACCUAUAUUCAGGAUAUUACAUCAAGGCUAUAAAAGGAAAAUUACUAAACUCACUGGUGUAUAUGCAUGAAUUGUGCUAACGGACCUGGAUAUAGAAUAAUUAGGAAGCAGUGAGUAAAAUUUUGCAGCUCUGCCUGCUGCAAUUACCUUGACAAUUUCAGGAAGGUGUCAACACUAGGGAAGUGUGGAUAAGUGCACUUUUCCAUUCGUUGUCAAUCACAACCUUGAGUAGGUUCACCAAAAGUAAUGGGGUAUAGGGAGGGCAGUGUUGUGAGGUACUAGAAAUGUUACUGCAACCUAAAGAAAAUCUUACAUCCCCAUGUCCUGCACACUCUUACACUCUACUGUCAAACGUGUUAAUACACAAAUGUUUACAUUAUGCCUAUCUCUUUUCUUCCUUCCUUUUUCUCCUGUAAAGAAUUAACAUUUUUAAACAUCAUAUAUAAUGUUCCCUGCCUGAAGAUUUUGAGAAACACUGCACCGAACUAAACUCUGCUUUGCUCUUGAUCUUAAAAAUACUGCCACAGUGCUUUAGCAGAAAGGAAAACUACAGCUUUUAUACAAAGAUUUUUUCCAAAAAGUUCUAUUACAUCUUUGUAGGGCAAUUAAUUUUUCACAAGUGAUUAUAAGGGUAAAAGAGUGGCAUGGUAUUACAUAUUAACAGGGGACUAGAACCAAGUCAACCAAAAAUUCAUUGAACUGGAAUGGUGAAAAAAUUACAGGCCAAAUAUCAUGUGAGCAAUAAUGAACAUGUGAAUUAAGAGCCACUGAAGUCAAACACAGGGUUGUGAACGUCUCAACUGUUGGGUGGACUGAAGCCUAGAUCUUCCGCAAGCUUACACAACUGUGUCAGGCUGAGAUGUGGUGAAGGUCAGGCUUUUCUUCUGCGCCAGUAUGUUAGUGAACAAACCAGUGUAGGACCCAGUGACAACUGAGACAUAUUAACUCUUUCCUACUAAUUUCCUGAGGUCUAGGAGGAGGUUCGAGACACUGUCCAUUCUGUUCACUCGCAACACGUAGGCGUGUAGUUUGAUUCAUGCAUAUUGAAGAAAUGGGCAUGAACUUUUCAUUGCAGACCUGUUGCUGCUUUGGAAAUUUUGCAUGGAAACUCAGUGGAAGCCCGCUGAAAAUUUCGCUUUUAUUAAACUCAGUUUUCUACAAAGAACAACGAAGAACUGAGGACUUGAAUUAAAACAUUUAUUUUCCCAGAUAAUUUACUAAGACUUCAACUCUCUGUCACUAUCUUACCUGUCUUUUCCAUCCUUCUCUUUUUUUCAGAUAGUAUCUGGCUACAUUUUGGUCUCAGAAACCUCCUCCCUCUCUCUGCAGCUGACCUCUGGGGUGCUCCCCAGUUUCACGGGCAGGCGGUAUAUAUGUGCACUGUGCCAUCUAUACAUACCUACUGCUUAACCUGCUUCUCCACCUCUGACUGAUCCACCCCUCCACUUCCCCAUUUCUGCUCCCCUCUGCCAAUCCCAUGGCCUACCUCUCACUUAGCGUACCUUUUCUGGUCACAAAACAGAAGACGAUGACCAUCUUCUGCUGGAAAAUCCCUUCCUUGUCCUUUUUCCAUUACCAUGGCUAAUUCUGUCAUCCUCUGAGCUCGUUUACUCCCUUUUCUCCCCCAUAUAGAUGCUGGGUUUAGGCCAUGCUUAUUCUUCUGUGAAGUAUUUCCAACAACCUGUUUCCCCACCUCAGACCUUGUUUCUGAAAGUCUUCCCCAGACUUAGGUUAUCUCUAGCCUGAAGACACUCAUAAAUUACCAGCUUUCUAGAAGUUUCUCCCGGGGAAUCUUUAGCUUCUCCUUUCCACUCAGUUCAGGGUCUCUCUAUUCCCCAUUCCAGCAGAUAAAGUUUUCAUUACCCUCCUCCCCUUUUUUCCUCACUGAGCAGCAGCAUCUUGCCACCGUUGUGCCCCUUCUUGGGCCUUCUUGGGUUGUUCAUCCCUUUGGUUUCAGGCCUCACCUUCGGGGCCCACCGUUGUUCUUCUGCUGCCUUAAUUCAGAUUUGUGUCUUUGCUCCCACAUGUUCUGGUCCAGCCCAGCUUUCCUCUAAUCACUUUCUUCCUUUCCUCCUCCUGCUUUUCUCCGAGGGCUUUCAUUCAUUGAACAACUGCGCCCAUCUUGUGAACCAAAUUCACUCCAUCUUCAUUCAGAUUGCCUCAUAAAAUGUACUUCUGCCAUAAAGCCUAUCCAGCUCGGAUUCUUCUGCUGAAAUAUAUCCCAUUCCUCUAUAACAAAAACAAAUCCUGUUUCAUAACAAAACAAAAAGAACUGAGAGACUGACUAUGCAAUUAAUUUUUGCCAGUUGCUUUCUGCCAAGAGCAACAUGCUUGUUCUUAUCCCGCUCCUGAGGAUUGUCCUCCCCAUGUGCCUCCUGUUUGUCCUUUUGUUUUGUUAUCGGCUUUCGAGUCCUUCCUGAGGGCUCCUGGCCUGAUGCUGUGCUCACAUUGGUGUGAAGCGAGGAGUAACUCCACUGCAGUGAACAGAGCUUUGCCAAGGUGAAAUUUCUGUGGAAGACGAAUCAGCCCUUUGUUUUAAUAUUGGCUAAUAAAGCCUGUGCACGGCCCCAGCACAGCACUCUGGUUUUAAUUAAUAAGAAUUAGCAUCUAUAUCUACCUACAUUCUUUUUUUUCCCUUUGUGGGCUCAGCUACUUUGAAGAAAACCUCUUUGUCUGUCUUCCUGGUUAUUCUAUAUCUUGAUAUUAAAAAAACCCAAACGAAUAAAAAACCGAAACCCCAAGUAACAUCAAACUCCCACGCAAACAAAAGGCUUAGCUGCUGCCGGUGGCGGGGAGCGCUGGGAGCAGCCCUUCCCGCCUGCUGAGAGGAGCCAGCUUCCAGCCCGCGCUCCCUGCUGCUGGGGAGCUGUGCAAUUCCCAGCCCACUGUCCCUUCCUCCGCCUUUGCACAAUCCCACUGCAGCGACUUCCCAGUCCUAAUUGGAGCCUCUGGGCAUUAUUGUAUUAUUAUUUAAUAAACAACCACAUAAAACACUGGUUGACAUUUAAAUAAGAGUAAAGAAAGGAAAGCUCUGACUCCGAGACUGUUUUGUUUUCCUGUUGACUUGGGUGGAAGCAGGAACAGGUUUUCUAUACCAUACCCACGCUCGCUCGACACAUGCUCACCUUUACUGGUUUAGGAAAGGCACUGCUAACGUGGGCCCGGUGCAGAUGAGAGGGCCAGACCUACUGCAGCUGUCAGUCCCUGUUGCAACAUAAACUGUAAAUGUAGAGACAUAACCUGGACGUCCCCAAAUAAAACAGCUUUUCUUGUCUGAGCUAUAGUGAGCAAGGAUUCAGCAUCAUUUUCUGCAUUGUUACCCCCAGCAUGUCCUUUCGAGUAGUUAUCUGAAACACGCAGCCAUCAGGAUGCUAUUAAGAAGAAUAAAUGGAAAAGAGUGUUUUGGUUUUGCAUUUGAUUGUAAGUUUGAGAUGUUUCAGAGUGAGAGUUAUCAUGACAAAAGAAAACAUGGUGUCCUUGAAGUGAACGCAGAGGAGCACAACUCAUUCAAAAAGGUUUUGAAAGAAAACAAAGAGCUGAAGGCCAGAACUGACUUCUUUAGCAACAAGUAUAAAAUGAGACAGGAUUCAAAAUGCUUAAAAUACUUUGGUGACAAGCAACAAAAAAGCGUCUGUUACUAGAAUUGAUUCAGUUAAGGAAAGGGAGAGAAAAUCUUGAGAACUUUUUGAAAAGUAAAGAUUUGAUGUGUAGGGAGUAUAAGAACAAAAUUCUCCCGGACCACAACCAGAGCCCUGAAUCAGCAUAACUCUUUUCCUUGAAGAAAGCGACAACUAGACAAGGGUGAGUAUGUACACCCUUAUUAUCCUUUUUCAUUGUGGAUCAAAGAGGAGGAAUUCUUGGGGCUGCCAGCUCUCCACUUUCCCGCAGUGAGUCUGGAGUGCAGGCUGGGUUGAUUUCUCUCGGUUAGGCAAUGCCUCUCUAAUACUCUAAAUGAUCAGGUCCUAUAAUGGACUUCUUGUGAGAUCUGAAUCUAACUGGUUUGUGUGUGGUAUAAAUGUUUUUAAAGUAUUCAGUAGGAGUGAAACAUUCUUGCCUUUUAUAAAAAUUAUAUACAUAUAUGCUUUAAUUCUAGGGAGUUCACCCCUCAUUCUUCCCACCAUUUCAUUACAUGUUUGCUCUCCUGUAUUAUAUAUUAAAAGCUUCAUGCAGUGGCUCACUUGCAUUUACAUAUGUGGACUGUAAUAAUUCUGUGAUGUUGCUUGGAACUUCUGUAUGAACAUGUUAUAUAGAGUCAAUGUGGGCAUGACAAAUGUAUUGCAGAUUUUUUGUAGAUAAACAGAGUCAGUGAAUGCAAAUACAAAUGAAUUUGUGUGCGAGUUUUAAUAUCUAAGCAGAGCUUAUAAGUGCAUAAUACCUGUAACCACAACUGUCAGUGCAAACGGGGAAACUAGUUUUAAAGCAUUUGCACUGAUUUAAAAGUGCUGGACUUCGAAAUACUUCAGCUGACAUGGUGGAGAUGUGUUCAUCCUCUGGCAGGUAUGUAAUGCAUAAACUCUGUUAUUAAAGAAUACAAACUUUAUUAGCAGCUGAUAUGCCAAAGUCCUUGCGAAAACAAGUACCAGAACGGUGAGGACUGCCUUAUAAAGCAACUUGUGGCUUUUAAAGACAUUAUGGAAAUCUUACUGUGAAAUGGAUUAAAAAGUGCUGGUUAGUGAUCUUAGGGAGAUGGGUGUUAAGCAUGGAGAAUUUUUUUGGAAGGCAAAAUGAGAACAUACCGUAAAGGUGCUGUAUUUGCAUGCGUCGCCAUGCAGCCAGUACUAGGUUUGGUCUGGAAGCAGGGUGUUCGCUUAGGAGAGGCACUGCAGAGGCAUAUAACUUAAGGAUAAAACUGAGUCUGCUUGAAUAUGGAGUGGAGUAAUCUUCCCCUGAAGGGAGACCGAGUGACUGCUUUUUGUGAGAGUACUGAGACAAGAACAUAUUAAAUUGUUAUUGAAGAUGUAGAGAAGAAGUAUGUUCUGUAAAGUUUUCUGGUGCAUUUUAUCAAAACUAUUCAUGUGACAAAAAGAAAGAGAUAGAUGCAAGUCCAAGGCUUUAAUCAACAAAAGGGCAAAAUAAACCUCUUUCAGCCUUUUCUUUAUUCAUGAAUAUAAAUAUUUGCUUAUUUCUGUAUUUGGUGGAGGUAAAGUUGUCCUGAAUUGGCCUGUAAAAUAUUUCCUAGAUAAAGAGUUCAGGUUCAACAUGUGAAGGGAAUUUGUUCUGAAUUCACUGGAGGUCUACCUGCUCAUUCUAAAUAACACCAUAUUAAGUAGCUAUUUAACUGCUAUAAGAAAAGUUAUGUUUUGCAGAGUGAGGACAUGAAAUUGUCUUUGUAUUUGCAUUUCUUUAGAGCUCAGGCCAAGUGGUUUAUUAAUGGAAAAUCAGAAGAAAACAGUCUUCAAAAUGGCCAGUAGACUGAAGAAGCCGGACUGGGAGCAUCUGUAUCUUCCCAUUUGAAAACAUUGCCUGUUGCUUGCUCCUACAGAGUACCUGGAAACACCGGGCAGAGAGACAACUCCCAGAAGCCGUGUAUCUUGAGAUUUACUGAAGUCGGUUACAAAGAGCAAAUGAAAAAAUAGGCACCCAAAGUUUCUUUGGCUGUGACGCAUGAGGCAACUGAUUCUUCAUGCAGGAUGGGAGGGACGCUGCGCUCAGCCCCAUGGAUGACAGAGCAUGGAUAGGCAGCAAUCCUGCAGCUGUGCCUGUGGUAGGUAAGACAACCCCUACAACUCCUUGUCUCCUAUUUGGCUUUCCACCAUUCUGCCUUCCCGGAUCCACUUGCUUUGCCAGCUGAAGACUGCCUGGUCACCUCUGCAGAAAGCCUGGGGUCAUGGAGCAGGAGACAGACUGUGGCACUGCACUGCAAGUAUGGGAAACGUGGACUUAGUUCUGUGGAAGCUGCAAGGAGGGAGCAGUCCGGGAGUAUUUGCACAUAUGCUGCAUCCAGUCUGGCAGGCAGAAGAAGAAAUUCACCCUCCUUAUUUAUAGGAAGCUGGAGUUGCAUGCUAGGCCAAACUGACUAAGUCUGGUAUCCUGCUUCAGACAACAAUGAGCACUGGCUGCUAGAGGAGAUGUAAGAAAUGCUGUAGUAAACCGAAGAUGAAAUCAGUCACUGUGGACAUUUCUCACUGUCCUACUGAUAUCUAGGUCGCUAGUUAACCAUGUCAACAACUAGUGACCAGCAUGAGGUGGGAAGGAUGAAGGCUUUACACUGAACUAUUCUAUUUCAUGUCCUACAUGAUUCCUCUCCCUUGGUUGAAACAAAAAUGAAGAAAGAAUGAUACCCUCCUCAUCCUGUUCCUUCUGAAAUAUAUGACAAACCCUGUAUUGUUAUCAAAGGUGCAGGAUCAAACCUGUCAUUAUCUCACACAGAGUGCAAUAAAUACCAUGACUAAGAGUUAACAGUGCGUCAAAAAUGAUCAUCUCUAAGUCUUGUUGGCAAGCUUUGUGUGAACUGAACCAGGUUGUCACCUGCCUCCUUCAAUGACAAUGCAACAACUACUCUGUAUAGUCAUUUUCUGUCACUGUAUACUACAGGUGAAAAAUACAGGUGAACAAUAUUUUACACGCACAGAUAUGUAACUGAUUAUAUUACAAAAAGAACUGCAAGAACAAAGCAUUUAUUUUUCACUUUUAGGAAUCUGAAUGAGGAGAUCUCAUUACCCAGAAUCAAGAUGCAUCUUGCUUGGUGAAUACAAUAACAAAUGGGUUCUUCAAAUCCCUAAUUCACAAGCAUUUCAGAAAGAGACAGUUCAACAGCACAAGAUGUACUAUUCCUAGAAAUCUCCUGACUCAACUCCUGUCCUGUCAGUGAUUCAGUAGCACGGCAGUUAUAAUUGAGCACAAACAUACUUCUGUUAGCAAACAGGAACAAGCUGGGCAGAAGCACCAAGAUGGAAAUGGGCUAUGUGGGUGCCAAGGUAGGUGGUCACACCUGGUCAGGGCUGUGAGAUUCAUGAUAUGGAUAAGGUGAUCAGGCUUGUAAAGGGAAAACCUGAGUUGCCUGUGACUGUCUGGUGAUAAGAAAGAAGGAUGCACAAGGCGGAUGAUAAUCUUGAUGGGCACUUAACAAGGCCAAAAAGACAGAUAACAGUGCUUCAUUUCUAUUUCUUUAAGUAGUAAUUCGCUUACCUUUUCCUUUAGGUGGAAUACUUUGCAUAAGAAAGCACUGGCUGCAGCACUUAGACAUGGUGUGUAGAUUUCUGUAGAUUUACAGACAUUGUGUGACAUGGUUGGAGGGAGGAUUAUCAGCACGUAGCCAGCAGCCUGGGGUGAGGUUCUUGAGAUUUGUGUGCUUCCAUGUGCAUCUUCUUAACUCCACCCCAUCUGCUGGAGAUUUGGAAAAAAAAAAAACCGCAGGACUGUGCUCUAUUUAUGAAAGCGAUAGUGACAUCAGGACAAAAAUACAUGAUCCAUGUAGUUCCUGAAGCUAGAGAUUACUCACAGGAUAUUGCUAGGGCAUCAGAUAAAGAUUUUAACAAGUGGGUGUAAACAUUUCAUCACAAGUCUGUCUUUAGGAACCCAAGGAACUGCUCCUAUUUUCAAAAGUGUGGAAUCUCUGGCAACUUCAUCUGCUCUCUUCUUUCUGCUCUUAUUUUGUGAAUGGAAUAGGGCACAGUCGUUCAGGCUUUGUGGGAGUCAUUCUACUUGCCUGAAUUGGUUGUAUGCAUAACAAACUGGUAGGACAGGUCAGGUACUUUUCCUUUUAUUUGAAGUUCUUUAAAAUGAUCAAAUCUCUGCAGAUGCAUAAGCCAUAGAAAUAUAAAUAAA